UGCAGGAGCCAUUGAGUAGAAUGAGGCUUAGUAAACAAGAAAAUGUAAUGGGUGACAAUUUGGGCUUGGAUAAUUGUGCUCACUCUACUGAAUCAAGGCUAGUGUUAGGAUUAAGAACUGGUGUUGGAACACUGAGUUUAUUUCUGAAUUCUGUGGGAACCAUAUACUCAGCUGUUCCUGAGAGGACUAGGCUGAUGCAACGGGUGAUAGCUGCUUUCUAAAACACAAAGGGUUGAAGAUCUGCGGUCAUUUCUCCUUCCUGCAGGGGCCACCAAAACUCAAUCCUGACCAAGCCCAGAGCUCACUGUCUGCCACAGAAGUAUCUUAAAGCUCCACUCUUGAUUUUGAUCCAGAUAAGUUUAUUAGCACCUCCUGCCCAGAACUCUUUAUCUCAAAACUGUGGUUAGGUCUGUCACUUCUGCCUGGACAAAACUACUCAUACCCUAAUCAUUCCUGGAAAUAGUUGAGCACCAUGGCUCUUCCAAAGGGUGGCAUGAAAGCCAUUCCCAGUUCACCUUACCCCAAACUGAGCACUGGAUCCCACGGCUCCAACCCCUUGUUAGUGACCAUAUUAAUCCCGUGGAUCCAGCAACAAAUGAAGUUAUUCUGCCCUUGGCUUCUCAAAUUCUCUGAACUGAACUCAACACACAGAACAAAGAAAUAACCCUGCUGUUUGUCCAGACAAAUUUGUGCUCUUCUGUCCUGAUGAACAGAAGGCCUCGGCUCAGUCUUCACAGGAUUAUGGCAUCCGUUGCAACAAGCUCAGAUUGACAGCCCUUGUGAACUCCAGGCAGGACUGAGGAACCCACAAGGGCUGCAAAAGCAGUAAGAAGAGUGGAGACAUCAGAGGGAAUUAAGGUGUGUUUUUUCCUUAAGAAAUGCUUCCUGGACCUCAAGUUAAUUAUGUCAUUGUGGUUGUGUUUGAUUUGUGACAGACAGACUCAGGCUGCUACAAGGGCCAGCUGAUGAAUCCUGUCUAAAUAUAAGAAUUUUGCCCUUUAUUGGGAUAUAGAUACGGAAAGUUAAGUUUUGUUUCUGGAUCAUGGAAGACCAGCUGUUCUGGGCUCAGUCAGCCAAAAUCUCCAGUCUUCCACUUGGGCUCAGUUUUGUGUUGGGCUGUGGAUACAGCUUGAAACUGGUGAGAUUGAUCAGCUCCAUCUGUUGCCACAGGCUUUAUAGGCUAGAAGACUGGGAAGAGGAGUGCUGCCUCUGCAGAUGCAACACACUUAGGACUGUGGGAAGGAAAGAAUUUCUUGAGUGACUACAGCUAGAAGUAAGGACAGAUUUCUUAGCUAUACAGCAGACAGUUGCAGGUUUGGAGAGAGAACCCGGGCAAACAGGAUAGGAAAAGGAUUCAUUUGCUGAAGUGAGAUCCAAGAUUAAAGAUAUCAAAGCAGUGUGAGUGUUCGGUUUAUGCCUGAAGUCUGUAAGUCCGCAGGUCUGGUAUGUGCGCUGACAAUAUGAAGUCAUUGCUCAAUUACAGUAAACAAACUGUAUUUGUUACUGGAUCCCACAGGCCAAUUAAGCUGAAAAUUUGUUUCCAAAAACCCCUCUAUUGGAUCAGAUUCGAUGACAGCUUUGAGGCUUUAAGGAAGCUUUGUACUGAAGAUCUACUAGCAUUAGGUGGCUGUAGAAGGCUGACAAUAUUUGGAGGAUGGAUGAUGUAGUUAGCUGUAAGAAAUCACACUAUAGCAAUCAAAAGUUGAUGGGCAAGAGAAUAAAGAUAAAAGUCUGGUGUCUGGAAUGAAAGAGGCAAAUUCCUUAAUAGAGCUGCAAUUACUUCUGGGGUAGCCAAACAUUACUUUUCUGGCCUUAAUGCAAGAAUCCAUGACUACAUGGACUACAAUGACUACAAAACUAGGCUAAUUCUCCAUUCCUGCAGACAUCACAAGACAAGCAGGGGUGGUGGGCACAGAAAGGGACAGGGAAUGCUAUGGUUGGUUUUAGGUGAAGUUCAUCCAUUUGGCCCUCAAAGGGGCGAGGAGUUUACAGUUCUCCUACGCAGUGUGCUGUAGUGCUCUACGGUGCUGACACCUUGAGUAGGACUACUACAUAAGUUGAGGUCACUGGGCCAGAGCUUAUGGUGACAAUUAACCAUCAGAGCAGAAUUGGCUUUGUUGUGUUUAACAGAGGGUUCCAGACCACUAUAAGAAGUAUGCUGGGAGAUGUCUUGGGGCAGAGUUAAUGGCCUUACUGGAUUCAGGCCAAAGUUAAUGUCUUGGAAUCACAGGAAGUGAAAAGCAACAUUCAUGUCUGGAUCACAGAAUCACAAAAUGGUUGAAGUGACAAAGGGCCCUCUGGGUCCACUUGGUCCAGCAGUUAGAGCAGAGUACCCAAACCCAUGUCCAGAAUGAGACUCCAAAACCUGUCUGGGCAUUCUCUGCCAGUGCUCCAUUUCCCACACAGCACAGAAGUUCUUCCUGGUGUUCAGUGGGAACCUCCUGUGCUUCAGUUUGUCAACUGCCUCUUGUCCUGGCACUGGGCACCACUGAAAACAGCCUGGCCCCAUCUUCAUUGCAUCCUCCCUUUAGGUAUUUAGACACUGAAGGGAUACCUCCUGAGCCUCUUCUUCUCCAGGCUAUAAAGUCUCAUCUCUCUCAGUCUUUCAUCUCUCAGGAUCCUGCUAGGUUUGCUGAGCUUAAAUCUCAGUUAGUUCUAACAUAAUAACACAGAUUGUUUAAUCUGCAGAAUCUGAAGGAUGGUGUGGGGUUUGGGGUUAGUUUUAGUGACAGCACAGCCUGGUGCUGCACAUUCUAGGCCAUUAGAACCAGUACAACGACUGCAGA